UGUCAAACCUAAGGUAAUGCUGGUUGGAAGAAUAAAAGAAAACCUCCCCGAGAUCGAGACAACGAAGCUAGAGACUGAGGUAGAGAUGAUAAAGAGGAUAAAUAAGAGAUAAAUGGAGAGUAGAUAUCUAUCAGAUGCUGUGUGAGCUGAAAACAUUGAGGUGAUGUUUACACUGCUGGCACCCACUGCCUCCACGCUCAUUUAUGGCUAUUAUCUCCCCUUUAUCUCUCUCCCUGCUUCUCCCCGUUGUGUCUAAGGUCAGUUCCCUUCAGUAACUUGAUAAUGGUCAAGGAUGCAUCGAAGAGUCGCCUGAAGUUUCAUCUCUAAUUUAUAAUGAGGGUGUUAAAGGAACACUGAGAUCACCUGAGACCACUGGCCAGUGAACCUUGACUGUCAAGCUCUGCCGCUGCUGCCUUGUACUGCAUGUUUCCCACUGCCCUCUUGACCCCACCAUGGAAAACAGUGCAGUUCACCGUGCGCAUGAUCCUGAGAGGUAAACACUGGUUGCCUGAGACAAAUUUGAGAGUACACACACACAUAUAUAUACUAUAUAUACGCCUACAAUCCGAGUUAUGACCGAGUUCGGUUCCGAGAAACCGGUCGUAAGUCGAAAUGGUCGUAAGUCGAAAUGGUCGUAAGUCGAACUUUACUACUGAAUAUCAACAAAACAUUUUUGUAAUGACUUUAUUUUAUUGUUUUAUUUUGGUAUUUCAUGUUUUACUUUACUUUUUAUGUUGUUAGUACAGUGGACCCCCGCUUUAUGAUCACCUCCCAAUGCAACCAAUUAUGUAAGUGUAUUUAUGUAAGUGCAUUUGUACGUGUAUGUUUGGGGGUCUGAAAUGGACUAAUCUAAUUCACAAUAUUCCAUAUGGGAACAAAUUCGGUCAGUACUGGCACCUGAACAUACUUCUGGAAUGAAAUAAUAUCGUAAACCGGGGGUCCACUGUACUGUAUUUUAUACUGUAAGGUUUAGGAUAAACACUGUGUACAACACAAAUAGUUGCUUAUUUUCCAGAAAUUUGGCAUAAAAAACACGAUCGUAAGUCGAGUGGUCGUAAGUCGAGCAGGUCGUAAGUCAGAUGGUAGGUG